AUGUCGGUGCCGGAGGCGGGGCAAUCGGCGGGGAGGGACGAGCAGGAGAUGGACGAUUACGAGCAGCACCAGACCAGAGUGCUCAUGGCGCUGAUGCAGGGCUUGUGCGCCGCAAGGUACCGCAAGGCCGACAACACCCCCUGCCUCGUCGACCAGGGCCUCUACUUGGGUUCUGUUGGAGCAGCACUGAACAACGAGGCUCUAAAGAGCUUGAACAUCACCCACAUCUUGGUUGUAGCCAGAUCACUGAAUCCCGCCUUUCCAGCAGAAUUUACGUACAAGAAGAUCGAGGUACUUGACAGCCCAGACACUGAUUUGGGAAAGCAUUUCGGUGAAUGCUUUACUUUCAUAGAUGAGGGUAUCUGCACUGGUGGCAAUGUGCUGGUUCACUGCUUUGCAGGUCGGUCGCGGAGUGUCACAGUUGUUCUUGCAUAUCUUAUGAAGAAGCAUCAGAUGAGCCUGCAAAGUGCCAUGUCACUAGUUAGAAGCAAACGACCUCAAAUAGCACCCAAUGCGGGCUUUAUAUCCCAGCUGGUGAACUUUGAGAAGUCUCUGCAAGUGGAGCAGGGACAAAGAACGUUGCAAUCUAACUAA
rnacentral:rRNA from 1 species